rnacentral:lncRNA from 1 species
GCACAGUGCCCAGUAUGUAGUAAAAACUUGUUAAAUGACGGACUUCUAAGGUCAAGAGAGGAGGAGAGAAAUAUCUUUCUUCCCAAGAACAAUUCUCUCUUAGGGGACAGGUUUUCCUUCUUUGCUGAAGUAGUGAAUUCCCAAAUUUCUAUACCCUUGAUUUUUUUAUGUAAUCCCAAGGACCAGGAUUAGUUGAUUCUUCUAGCCAGUCACUAGAUGAAUCCUGAAUGAUAUCCAUUGAUUUAUCUAGUAACCAAACAAUUAUAAUUCAAGUUGAUAAAGGAACUUUUUUCAUACAUUACUGUGAGUUUAUAGGAAAACUCUUUAAUACUUGCUUUUAAGAAGCAUGGUCUGAGACUAGUUAGAUUUAGUGAGUUAGGUGAAUUUGCAUUCUCUCAUCUGCCUGACCCAAAGAGUUCAGUUCUAGAGUAGAGUUCUAAAGCUAAUUAGAUGUUCUUUCCUUCUCCCUUCCUUUUCCCUCCCCCAGUGUGGUCUCUGAAGAACCAUAGCCAUCUAUGGAAAAGUCGCUUCUAUUCUUUGUAAAAGUGGUGAAUGCUUUUGCAAGAAACCUCCUUUACACCAAAAAACUCUCCAAAUGUGGGCUGACAUAUUUACAGCCAAAAGAAGGAACAUCCAAAAAUUAGAAGGCAGCAUCAUAGACAGGAAGAAACAAUCUGAUUGACUGGAAAUUUGGAAUCCAGAGAUGGAGAAGGAAUCAGAUGGGUGCCAAUGAGCCAUAUUCAAUGCCUUGUCCAUCAGAGAGAAACAGAAAAAGAGAAAACCUCAAAACAAAGGAGAAGAUUUAAGAAACAUUUGACACUGAAAGAGCAUGACUGACAAUGAGACUGUUAAAAGAACUUUAAAAUCUUCAGGUAUCAUUGGAUUCCCUAAUACAAGAUGAAACUGUUUCAAGGACUUGAAAACCAGCAGGAAUCAUUGGAUUCCUUGAGAUGAAAAAUUGUUGAUGAGACUAUUGGCUUUGUAUAAAGCCUAAAACUGUGAUAAAU